UACGUAGGGGGCAAGCGUUGUCCGGAUUUAUUGGGCGUAAAGAGCGUGUAGGCGGCCUGAAAGGUCAGCUGUGAAAACUCGAGGCUCAACCUCGAGACGUCGGUUGAAACCAGCUGGCUAGAGUCCGGAAGAGGAGUGUGGAAUUCCCGGUGUAGCGGUGAAAUGCGCAGAUAUCGGGAAGAACACCCGUGGCGAAGGCGGCACUCUGGGACGGUACUGACGCUGAGACGCGAAAGCGUGGGGAGCGAACAGG
rnacentral:rRNA from 1 species